UACGGGGGGGGGCAAGCGUUGUUCGGAAUUACUGGGCGUAAAGGGCUCGUAGGUGGUCAACUAAGUCGGACGUGAAAUCCCUCGGCUUAACCGGGGAACUGCGUCCGAUACUGGAUGACUUGAGUUCGGGAGAGGGAUGCGGAAUUCCAGGUGUAGCGGUGAAAUGCGUAGAUAUCUGGAGGAACACCGGUGGCGAAGGCGGCAUCCUG
rnacentral:rRNA from 1 species